CAAUCAGCACAAAAAAAGGUUUCUGAUCUUUUAUUCUUUUCUAUUUCUGCCACAUUCCCCAAAAGCUCGCAAACCUGAUAAAUAAAUGAUCAAAAUGUGAACAAGGCUAACUGUUGACGUAAAUCAGAACUGUAUUAUUGAGUCUGACGUCGGGGACUGAAGCUUUAAUCAAUGUGGGUGGUUUCAUCCAUAGAUAAAUACAAAUCCUGAUGAUGAAACCUCGGGGGGGAAGAUAAAGGACUCUCUUUAAAUGAUUCCUUUUAAAUGAGAGUGAGAUGGUGCUAUAUUCAGGCUGUUGGUUUUUAGAAGUGAUACAGGGUAGCUGAUCAAUAAAAGAAGCAUAAGGAGGGGGGAUCUCAAGGGGGUAUGCGCAGCACCACUCCCAAUGAAAACGUAUUGGCCUCCCUGGAGGCUGUAAUUGGAUAUCUGCUCAGCAGAGGGAGGAUUUAAGCUCAAAUCAAUGUAUUGGACUCGGUUGCAACAGGUUGAAGAAGGUUUUUUUUAGCACUUCCAAAGAGCGUAUUACUUGAUAUGAUAUUAUUUUAACCUCUUUGAAACAGCCAACCUUUAGGGUUUCUAGUGUGCCAAGCAUUGAAAACACAGCGACAAGAUGGAAAUAGGUACUGCCAGUGUAAGUGGACACAGGCCCUAAUUCUCUAAGCUGAUGCAAAGAGUGAAAUGCUUUCAAAACCGCACUGCAGAGCAAAUAGCACUUCUAUGCAGGAUGUUGUUGCAGACAUUGCAAAUAUGAUGUUUAGAUCAUUACCAGUGGUAUUAACGACCAUGAGCAGUGAAAGUUGGUGAUAACUACACCAUAGCUUCUAUAAGUCAUGUCAGGGUCAAACUCUGGCGUCACUGUUUCUACAAAGGUUCAGGGGUUGGAUACAUAAAGGGAAAUGGGUGUCAUGAUAUGUUUUGUUAAUUUAGUUUUCCCCACAUGUUGCUUAUUUGAGUGUUUUUUUCCUAGUGUUUCUGUUCCCUAUUGUUCUUGUUUCCCUGUAGUCUUGUGAGUUUUCAGUUUGUGUCUGACCCGGUUUCCCUCAUGUCCCUAGUCGGUACGUUAACAUGAGACCCAAGAAAACCAAAUUAUCGCCUUACUCCGAUUAAGACCAGACAACUGUAGUGCUGAAGUUUUUGAGAACUCUGAUUGCAGUCAGAGAACUCUGAUUAAGACGCCAAGGAGAGCGUCAUUAUGCUUUCCCUCCUGAGAGAAAUCGUCAUUUUAAAGUAUUCGGACGGUCACAUAUACGCGACUGUCCAUAGCAGAAACAGCACUACUGUAAAGACCCAUAUCACCCCCUAGUUUUGGGGAGGAGGACACGCUCAUGUCAAUAAUCCGAUUUUCUCAGCUGCAUGUAUAUGCGGACAAGGAGAGAAGUCAGAUUCGGCGAAAAAAAACUAAUUAAAAUCUUAGUCCAAUUAAGCUGUGCAUGUAAACGCACUCAGUAUUUUAUUCUUUAGAUCAGUCUUCAGUUCUCCCUGUUUUUUUUUCUUAGGAGUCCAUUCUUAUGUGUAUAGUCUUGUUUUACUUCCUCAGUUUUGCCUCCUCUGUAAUCGUCUGCACCUGUAUCUCGUUAGCCUCACCUGUUGCUCGUUAGCCUCACCUGUUGCUCGUUAGCCUCACCUGUUGCUCGUUUGCCUGUGUGAACAUAGUCCUUGUUUUCCCCUGUUUCUUUGUUGGUCCAUUGUAUGUGUAUGUCGAUGCAUAUGCUUGUGUCCCUUGUUGCUUCCUGUGCUUUUUUCCCCCAGUGAUUUUUGUGGAUUUUGGCUUUUGGAUUUUUCUCUUUGUUGCUUUUUCAUUUUUUUUUUAUUUUUUUUAAUAUUUUUUGUUUUGUUUUGUUUAAAUUCUGCAUUUUGGGUCCUUUUCCUUUUUUGCUCAACUCCAGACUGUAAUAACUAUGUCCACAAAUAUAGAGUCAAGUUUUGGUCUAGCUGUCCUACAAGCUGUAUAAUGUAAAUUAUGAGUCAACCUCACAAGACACAACUUAAACAGUGGAGAUGCUGACAGCUCACUUCUAUAGCUGGAUACAAAACAAGAGCAAACUGCACAGAGCUGCAACAUUUGGCUUUGUCAUUCACUCUAAUAUUAUGAAUCAACCUCAUGUUUGAAUGGUAUGAAGCAACACACCAGAGAUGUCAACAAGACUGUCCUCACAUGAGUUAAAUUGAAAGGAGUCGACUCAGUGUGAUAUUUCACAUCAUUAGCGAGUUCCUCCCAAUGGUGUAUCUAUUCGUCGGCAUGUGCAAAUACUUGUUUAUCUCAGAGGGGAAAAAAAAAAUCACGGCUUCCGUUUCAAAUCGAAGUAAAAACAAGGCUUUGAAAAAGAUCAUCUGAGUUCAUCUCACAGAUACUGAGAGGUUUUUGAGUCUUUAGUUGGGAGGCGUCAGUGAAAAUCAUUUUUCAUCUGUAAAGCACCAAAUUUCACAGCAGUUUUACCAUUCUUUUCAAACUUCUUAUACGUCCUAUAAGGAGUUUUUAGCCGGUUAUAAAAACAGACUGAAAUUACGAUGUCUUUGAGCCACAAAAACAAAGUUAACCAUCAGUGACAAUCUUGAUAAAUUCUGUUUGGUAGGUGGUAUCCAAUGCCCUAGGGAAGGUGCCAAGAAAAAGGAGCAAACCCAUAUAUCUGAAUGAGCCUUUGUUUACAAGCCAAGGUUCACCAUGAGUGAAGGGUUUGGCUUUCAGAUUAAAGCACAAACAAACAAACAAAAAUCACUUUUUUCAAGGUUAUUUCUUCUGAUUAAGAAAUUAAAUUGUCUAAUCAGAGUCUAUAGGUUCAACAAGGGUCAUUUUCAGGACCUGUUCAUGUGAAAGUGUUGUUUACCUUCAUGGUAAAACAUGACUGAUCAACUUGAUGUUGUCCCUCAGCCUGGAGUCACAGACGGUGAUUUAAAAACUCCAAGAGAGUCCUCUGUUGGCUUUUGUAUCAGGCUGACAUUAGUUUGUUGAACUAACUUUGUGUUAUCCUUUCAAUGCUACAUGCUGAAAGAGUGAAGGUUAAUUGGUAAAUACAAACACCGACAAAGCUUCCCUGUUAAAAAACACGAUUGUAAAAAGGUGAAGGAAUGAAAUGUCACAAGAGUUCUUAGCAGUGUUUUGUCCUCGUUUCAAAAGGCUUUGGCUCGAUGUGUUUUCUUUCGCUUCUGAUUCAUCAAGAAAGAAAACGUCUGAACCCAAGCUGAGAUCAUCUACCACACCGAUACUCUGUUGCACCAUCCCUGUAAUUAUCCUCGCAGUGUAAAAGGGGUAAAAGCCAGGAACUGUUGGACCUGCUAAUGACUCAAACUAGUAAGACUCAGGCAAGUUUUUCUUUUUCAUAAAUGUGUUUGGAUUUCAUCAGCCCAGCCGAGGGCUCGUGCAGACAGCUUGGAGACAAGAAGUCAGACAGUGACCCCGGCAACCGACAGCCAAAGUUCGGCUCGUGUGGGAAACUGACUUAACUAGAGGAAUCACUUUGAACAGAAAAACAGAAAAAGAAGAGACUCCUUUCACAUAAACUCCUACAGUACUGCACUUGCUCCACUUUUGAAAAGAUGCUGUACGGAUUUAAUUGUAGGGAUGAGUCAAAGCGGGUGACAUGGCACAAGCUCGCAGAUGAGUGCAGUCACAGCAAAGUUGAAGUUAGCUGGUUUCUAAAAGUCGCCACAACUUCUACUUUGAAUGUUAGAAAAUGUUAUUUUUUUAUUUUGGGAUACUCAGAUGUAAAAUUAAGUUAGGGUCAAACACAUCGUAACACCGUUUUAGACACCCCGUUGAGAGAUGAAUGUUGCCGACCGCUUGCUUCUCUUUAGUAACGACCGUACGAUAGCAAUACAGAGAGCCAUGCGCUCAACCAAACAGCCACUCUAUAGGCACAAAUAAUGCUCAGAACAACACCUAACUUCAUCAACGGUACAUAUAGGGUCCCAGAGGUCCCAGAGGUCUCUGUACAAACAAGCGGCUGCUGGAAGAGAGUAGGUGAGUUGCGUUAGGUCUCUUUGCUAAAGGAAUAAGGCAAAGCUUAAAAGAUGAUUGGUGGCUAGUGCUGUGGCUGGGACCCUAUAUGUACUGUUGAUGAAGUUAGGUGCUGUUCUGAGCAUUAUUUGUGGCUAUAGAGUGGCUGUUUGGUUGAGCGCGUGGCUCUCUGUAUUGCUAUCUGCGGUCAUUACCAAAGUUGGUAUAACUAGAGAAGCAAGCGGUCAGCAACAUUCAUCUCUGGACGGGUGUGUCUAACUUGAUGUUAAGGUGUGUUUGACCCUAACUUAAUUUUACGCCGAAACAUACCUUUAAAGGAGGAUUAGUCGACCCUGAAAAAGUAACCCCAUGGCUACUGUGAGCCAAAAAGAAAGGCCACGGAAUCUCUGUUUUAGAAGCUAAUGCAGGGAGAGCAGCAGCGAAGGCCAGUGGAGCACAGAAAAGUUCCCAUUUUGGCCUGCCUGGACUAGCCCCGGUGGGUAUCUUCUUUUAAAUUCUCCAAGGCAGUAUUUGUGCAUCACCAUUUGCCUCUGAGCAGGUGUGUUGUGUGGAUCAUAACAAGGACAGCUCAUGUUAUUGUGGCUUUUUUCCCCCGAUUUUUCCUCUGGUAUUUGCCUUCUUUCCUCCUUCAUAAUAAAAAGGGGUCACUGUUAGUAGCAGUGAGGGGCUCAUUAACACGCCCACCUCAGGGUGCCUCUCGAGGGUAGGGUCAUUGCCUGCCUCGCAUAGCUAACUGUAAUGCUGUUUUCCUGCCUUUUUGUAUCAUGACCUCUGAUCAGCGCAGCUUUAAAUGACUGUGACAGCUGUGCCCGGGGGCUGUGGGGUAUCAGCACACCACUGUUUAGGUGCGCUCCUCUUUUUAAAGCUCCUUUUAUUUAUCCACUUUAUCCCAGGGUCAAACUUAAUUUGUUUCAAAAGUGUUUCCUGAUUAAGGAAAAGAGGAGUUUUCACAUAUGGCACAUGCAUGCUAAUUCUAAAUGCACCUGCCUGUGCGCUCACACGUUAUUAAAAGGCCUCGGGCUUGUUUGGUAUGAAUUAUACAUGACCAUAAUUCUUCCACAGGAUGUCAUGGAAAUUUUUAUCAGGAAAACAUAUGAGUAGCAUGAAAAAUAUUUGAGUCUGCCCUGUCCUCGCUUGUUGUAUGUGUGGGCUUUAAUGUGAUCAUGAUCGGGAAUGAGGCUUUAGAUUACAGACGUGGCAGACAAAUGUCUGUUCAUAGUGAUAUCUCACCCGCUGCUGUGAUUAAGCAGUCCCCUUCUGGCGUGGAUUACAAACUGCCUACAUAAUUGAGAUUCAAACAAUUAUGUACCGUUUAUGGCCUGUUUUUUUUUUUUUUAAACUGUGGGCUGGGACCGACAAUGAGAUGAAGGGCUGUUUCUGCAGGAUAUCCACGUCUUGGGGACAACAAUACUGAAGGAAUGGGUUCAUCUCAUGGAGCCUGUCACAGUGAUUAAUCCAACAGGCCUGACUAACGCUAAACAAUUGAUUGUUUUAUGUUGUCUGGUGUAACAUAUUGUGUGGAAUUUAAUUCUUAAAAGCCACUUUGUUGUAUCCAGAGGGCUCUUUAUGAUUAAAAAUGGCGAUAAUGGCCUCAGUGCUAUGAAAUGUGAAAUCAUAUUGGACUCAGUCGGCCGUUUGGACGUGUGCAAAAUCAAGUUUGGAAAAAGUGUGGCGUGCAUCCAUUAGAGAGAACCAAAUUUGACACAUUCAUUCACCUUAAUGCUCGUAAAAAGGUGCCCGGCCUGCCCUUACACCAAUAAACAGUUUUCCCUGUGCAUUUCUAAAAUUAGCUGUGAUAUAAACAAGACUUUUAAUGCCAUGCAAUCCAUCUGUUUGAUUAUGUAUUUAAAGCUCCUAUGAGGAAUUUUGAACUAAAUAGUGAGCAAAAAGAUUGAGAAUUUCCAUACUAUCACUUUUAAUGCAAUCAAAGAUUACUUUUUUUGUCCCACACACUGCAGUUUGUUUGAAGCGGCCAUCACGUUUUGUAUUUUUUUCGUUGUUGAACACAUACAUACACAAAAUAAUCAUAUUAACAUUUCAUACAUAAAAUAAAGCCCUAGGAAAUAAAAUAUAUACAUGAGACAAAAGAUACGUACUUUCCAGUCUCGUAACUUUUAAUUUGAAAGGCUAAAAAUCAACUUCCGAUAUAAAAAAAGUACUUGGGUUAUAUUUGCUUUUAUUUUGAAAGGCUUAGAAGCAACUUCAGACUUAAAAUAAUAAUAAUAAUAAUUUCAAAAAACAUCCCGUAGAAUUUGCUCUUAUUUUAAAAGGUUUCAAAUCAACCUCCGACGUAAAAAUAUAAUAAAAAAAAUUUAAAAAACAUCCUGUUAAAUUUGUUUUUAUUUUGAGAGACUUGAAAUCAAGUUCCUAUGUUAAAAAAGUACUCCUGUUAUAUUUGCUCUUAUUUUGAAAGGCUUCCAAUCAACUUCCGACGUAAUAAAUAAAAAAUAAUAACAAAUAAAUAAAAACUACUCCUGUUGUACUUGCUUUUAUUUUGAAAGGCUUCAAAUUGACUUCCGGCUCGCUCAGUGGAGGUUGGUCCUAACAGUGGAGGUCUGCAGUCAGACCGUCUUGUUAAAUAUAGGCAUUUAAGAAGUAAAGAUGGGACAAGAUUCGUCACUUUGUGAGCGGCUGUGUGCCUAAAUUGUUCGACAAUUUCAGAAUUCAGCGUGAAGUAGCACAUCAUUUGUUGAUUUCUUCAUCCAUGAUACAUUAAAAACAUACCAGACUGACAUUUUUACAUGGUAUCCCAAUUUGUUUGAAAUUGGGGGUCAUAUCAGUUUAUGGUGAGAACAGUCAAAGUUCCUGGUCCUAGCAAACUGCAGCAAAACAAAUCUUGACUAAAACCCAUUACAUUAUUUAUCAUGGCUUUCAAUCAUCCACAUAAUAGCGCGCUAAUUAACCUUUUCACUGGCGAAGAUGUACGGCCAAUUACCCCACUGGAUUGGCACUGACUGUCGAUCACCAAAGAUGUAAAACAGGGGAAAGUGAUAACCGCGGUCGGCUGUGCUGAUGGCUUUGAUGCCGCCCGGUGCUCAUCAUCAAAAAACAUUAGCGCUCGCUGUCUGUGCUGGAGUCUGAUCACACUGCAUCUUAUGAAGCGCAGAGAUAGGGUUCAUCUUGUAAAAGGAAUGCAGAGAAGAAAUGGCUCACAGAGCCCAGUUAACCACUGGUGUUUUAUGCAUGGGGUCCAUGUGGAGUGUGAUAAACCUCCCCUGUUGAAAAUUACGUCUGAUAAAGGUCAAACGGUUAAAGACUUGCUGGAUGAAGCGCCCAUAUUUAAUUUUCUGCUGGCUGCUGCAGCACUCCAUUUGCAGUGUCCAGCUGUCCAUUGGUCGAUUGUUAGAAGGAUAUGAAAGAAAAUUGCUCACAUUAAAGGCUGAUCACAGUCAUUCCAAACACGGGGCCUAUUUUUUUUUACAUAUUGAGGGACAUAAAUAACUAGAACGGGGCAUCAGUAUUAGAAAUAUUACGAUAGAUUGCUACAACACCACAUUGUCAACCUUCCUUUGCUUGUUUUUCGUCAAAUCAGGCCAAUGACUUCCCUCGAUCUAGCAAGAGUACUUCAACUUUCCACGAAGGAUAGCAGGAUCUCUAAUAAAGUGCAGAAAAUUCAACAGUUUUUAUGCUCAAUUAGGCGUCACAUGCGCAACAAAUUACAUUUCACAAUACCAUUAAUUGUGCGUCAAGGUCAUGAAGCCAAAUCACGGGGAAAAUUGGACUUGGAAACCUAUUCAUGACAUCAAAGAAGAAUCGAUCACUCUGUAUGGAUCCCCCGCUGGGAUGUGUAUCUGGGAAAACAGUCCUUGCCUCCUGCCAUCCCGCGACCCCCCUCCGCACGAACAGUCUGCGGCGUAUUAGCGAGCCAACUCUCAAUCCCACGCAUGUGUCUGCUCCCUGUGGAACAACUGACACUCGGUACUUUGAUCUCUGCGGCCAUUACUCAUGUCUACAAGGAGUAUGAAAAGAAAAAAAAACACAGCAGAAAAGGGGGUAGACAAUUCCUCUGUCGUUUGAAAGAAGGGAAAAAAGCAGACGUGUCCUCUAAUGCGACGCAGCGGGCGACGGCCGAUUCAUCUCCGCCUGUGUCUUGCUUCCUAAUCAGCUCGUGGAGUCGUGGCGUACCGCGCUAUUUGUGAAUGGCGCCCUGCAACAGAGGCCGCUUGGCUGAUGGUCCGCUCCAUCUGCCGUGAUGGACGCCGCCAGAUUGGAGACGCUCCCUGGGUCUUCUCCACAUGUCCGUGCUCGCUUUAUGUGACUGGGUCCGAACCAAAUUGCUUGUCACUUUGAUACUGGAGCAAACAUUUGCCCCCCUGUUGUAUUUUAGAACCGUGAUACAGCCUCGGAGGCGUAAUAUCAUUACGGAAAAGCUCAGAUCUACCAAAGUAGAAUGUUUGUGACAGAUUUGCAUUCUGAUUCAUACACCAUAUGUGUUGCAGACUCUGUUUUUAUAGCUUUUUAAUCACACUUAAGUCGAAGCAUUGAGAAGGCAUUACAUAACAGAGUGUGAUUUCGAAAACCACGGCCAAGAACAAAAGACAUGCUGCACUAUAACGUGCGAGUUUUGAAGUUUACACUUCUUUAUGUGAAAAGUACUUGUUAAAACUACAUAAUGAGAUGGAGUCGACAUUGUUUACAUCACAUUGCGAGGAGGGUGGCUGCCAGAGUGAUGAAGGCUAAGAAAACAAGUAUGUAUUCGAAGGGAACGCUUUCAACGGUAUAACUCUGAAGAAGGCCGCCUCCUCCUCCUGCUUGAGUUUUAUCAGAAAAAUAAGAGAUCGCUUUGAAAUCCAGGGCUGACCUUGAUGUUCACUGCUGCUUGAAUAUUUCAGAAAAGUGGAUAGGGGGCAGAGAAGACAUUGGGUUGGGGCACUUUAUACACAGCUUUCAUCAAAAGAAGUGACUUUGCGAGUUGGGACUCAAAUAUAUACACAAAGCUAAAACUGCCAGGUCUGUUUAAGUCUGGGCCGUAGUGAAACAACGACUGGCCACGAAAUAUAAAAAACUGGUUUGGAAUGGCAGAAAUGAUUUUCGGUUUUGAGUUGUAUUCCAUGAAGGGUUUAAGGAGAUAGACCUGAAUGCUGCCAAGUUAUGGGACUAUUUAUGCGUUAUGGACAAAACUUCAACAAGUAUCCAGCACGCCCAGAUAAAAACUCUUUCCAGUAUUUCUCGCACAGAAAGGGUUUUGAGCAGACUGAUUAAGUAUUUACAUCUGCCCCAAGCGUACUACAAUAUUCACAAUCUCCAUUUAUACUGAUUAAGCAGCAUAAUGUAGAAGUUAAUCAAGUCCAGGUGUGGUUUUAUCGUAAGGUCAUGUUAGCUUUGAAAUUAAACCCUAAACAGACAGAGUCUACUUAGGCAUGUGGUGCAAGUAUUUACACCUACCAAUUUUGAUCUCAAUAUGACUGAUAACUAAUAUGUAUUUAUUAUAUACUUUUUUUGUACUUUUUAAAUUUAUUCUUUUUUUAAAUUUAACACCUGCCCAAGUAUUUUUGUCAACCAUUUAUGCAUUUUUAUCGAUCAUCUGGAAUCUCAAUAUGACUAAUAUUGAAUGUGUAUAUAUUACAUUGUUUUGUUAAACUUUAAUAUGUUUUUUUUAUUUUGUAAAAUAGAGGUUUCUCUAUAGUUUAUCUAUUCUAUUUUAUUUUUAUGUUAUGAAGCUCUCUAUAAUCAUGUUUAAAAAAGUGUCAUAUAAAUCAGGUUUAUUGCCAAUAUUAUCAAGUACAGAUAUAGAUUUAUUGCACGGUCAUGUUAACGUUUAAAUUAAACCCUAAACAGACAGAGUAUACUUAGGCAUGUGGCGCAAGUAUUUACAUCUGCUCAAUUGUUUUUGUCAACCAUUUAUGCAUUUUUUUUAAUCUCCAUAUAAAUAUCAACUAACAUUUAUCAAUUUUAACUUCUUAAAUUUCUUUUUUUUAAUUUCCUUAAAAAAAGUUGUGUCUCUAUAGUUUAUCCAUUUAAUUUUAUCUCUAUAUUCUGAACCUCUUUGUAAACAUGUUAAAAAAGUACCACAUAAAUCAAGUUUAUGGUCGUGCUUUAUUGCACGGUCAUGUUUGCCUUUAACUGAAACUCUGCCCAAGUAUUCUUGAUGUGCAGGGAACACAGCCAAAACACUCCCCCCCCUGCCCGGGUAUAUGAAGUACACCUAGAGUAUGAGUAUUUAAGACCACCCAGGUAUAUUUACCAACCACUCUCUCAUUUACCUGAGGUAUAUGUUAGAGUAGACCUGCUGUAAAGUACUAUUCAAUGCACUGUGUGACGUCCAGAGAGAACCUCCACAUUUUCUUUCACUUUCUUGGUUUUGUCGCAUCUUUAAUCUUUAAACAGCCUCCCUGACAUGAGAACAGAAUCACCAGGGAAACCUUUUAAAACAGGUUAUGUUGUUUUGGCAGCUUCAUCCAAACUAAUGCUGAUGGAGCAGAAAAAUACAGAUAGGAAAGGAGCUCAUGCUGGCCUCUUAACCUGGUUUCUGCUGUCUGCCAGCUAAAUUUUUUAACCGUCUUACUGUUUUGGGGACCUACAAUCUUAAAUACUUAAUUCAUGACUUACAACCGGCACCAUCUGUAAAACCUUGUAUUUGACUGCUGUCGUUGAACCUCCGCCUCAGAAACCACACUCUGAUUCGGGGUUGCUGAAUAAUUAGUCACCGUCUCUAACCUUCCUUUCUUUCUAAAGUACGAAAGAAACUUUCUGCCCUUAUAUUAAACAUUCGUCUAGUCCUCAACGCUUUCACUCUGCACUCGUUACUCAGCUGGGACUGCAUCCACUUAAACGGUUCGUGAUCUUCUGCUUUCUAUGGAUUCAAACUUCACCUGAAUUGAUCUCAGGGUGGCUUUUCACUCCGUAGUUCACUGAUAACUCCCACACCCAACAGAAAAUCUAUUUGGCUUCUCUGGUCUUGCUAAAAUGCUCAGUAGUUGUUAAAACUAUACCUUAAAGUUGGUGUCAAUAUAGGAAAUGUUAGAGUUUGUGAAAUUGGAAUUAGAAAACAAAGCCAAGUGGUCAAAUAUACGGACACAAUCAAGAUGUUUGAUUGAUUUUCUCUCUUGUUACAGUGUGAAAAAGCAGGUGUUUUGCCCUCAAAACCUCUUCAAAUCCAGUCAAUUCUGUCAUCUAAACUUGAUCAGACCUGCCGCAUACUGCAUUAAAAUACAGCAAAUUCCACUAAAACCUGGACUACUUAAGGAUUUGGUUUCAGGACUAACUUAACGGGACUCCUCAUCUCUUUCAUUUCUUGCUGGCGUCAAGAGCCUUUAACCCUUAGAACUCCCAGCUAUAUUUAGCUAUUUUUAGUCCGCAACUGUAUCCUUUCAAGCACAGCAAAUAUAUAAGCAUCUUUUUUUUUUUUUUCCAGCACAACCUCAGCUGUCAGUUUAUGGGUGCAAAAACUACGUAAAAUGAAUGUGACUGUAGAUUCAGAACCAUCAAAGUCCAUUGACACCAACAGGACUUUGCUCAAAAACACAUAAAUCUACAGUGACCAAGCCUUUUCUCACCGUCACAUCAUUCUCUCAAGUCUUGGCUAUCAAGAGAUGAAAUAUUGGGAUUGAAACAAAAACACAACAGAAACCAUUUACAUAUUUACACUUAUUCUUCCAGGUGUUUUUUUUUUUGCUAUUUCCAGUUGUUUUUUCUCACUCCUUGAAGCAGAUCCUGUCUGGGAUGAGACAGAGGGCCACAUCAUACUGCUCAUAAUCUCUUCUUUGCUUGUUUCCAAACAUUGAGGACCAUUUUUUCAUAUUUUGCAGACAAGCAGGGAACUUUCUUGUCUCUUGUUGAUCUUUGGUUGCCUCUUAUUGGACACUACCGUCAAGGGAACAAUAGCAGUGUUGUUUUCGUUGACAAUGACAUUGAUGAAAAUGAUCGUCAGCGUCAUCGUCAAUGAAAACACUGAAGAAUAUAUGUUUAGCGUCUAAAUGCUCAUGAAUUUUGCAACUCUGUUCGUCGUCCAAAACUAACGUUUUCGUCUAGUCUAGUCUCGUCAACGUAAACGCACAUUUGUCUCGUCACAUUUUAGUCAUCUAAGACUUAUGUUUAGCUUGUCAACGUCACGUCUUCGUCGUGGGGAAAAAAAAAGGGGAAAACAACACUGAACAAUAGAAAAUUAGAGACCAUGUAAUUGGUUGAAAGUUUGACAGAAAAAGAUGUCAUCAAAACCGCUUGUCAAACCCGGAAGACAUUAGCGGCAUUUAGCGAUAGCGAUCUUUUGUAAUCACAACAAUAUGAUAAAUAAUCAUGUUUUCACCGAUAUAUCACUGCAGAUUUACCAUCAAACGUCUUUGAUCGAACACCUUUGUUUGUGGCUUGAUUGUGAACCUUGUCGGAGGUGUAGAAAUGCCUGGAAACCCUCAACAGAUCGCCAAAAGGGUCCUGUAGAGACACAUGGUACAGUUCCCGAGAAACUAAACAAUAUAAAUGGUGUCACAUGGGAGCACUGGCGAUCCAGCUGAGUUAAAUACAAAACUACAACUGUAACUAUAUCUGUUCACAGUCCUCUCUUCCCACUCAGGUUUUUCCUCAGCAGGACCACCGGCUGUCCCUCCCUCUACCCCUCUCUUGGCUGCCAGUGCAUCGCUCCAGAUGUUUCGGAUCUGGAUCCCCGUCCUCCAGGAGAUCCAGCCUCUCCUCUCCUCUCUUUCCUUCUGUCUUGUCCUUGUCUCUUUCUCCCUCUGUGUGUGUGUGUGUGCGUCUCCUUCCUGCCAUCUGUGAG